rnacentral:rRNA from 1 species
GGUGGGUGUGCUGGGCAGCGAGGGGGUGACGCAGGAGGGUAGCCCAUCCCGGGCGAUGGUUGUCCCGGGGUAACGGUGUAGCACGGUCGCCCAGGCAAAUCCGGGUGGCCAGUGGUGUGAGACCGGAUGCCGAGCCGGUGUGGCGAAGUGGGUGAUCCCCGGCUGCCGAGAAAAGCCUCUAGCGAGGGGCCGCGUGGUCCGUACCCGAAACCGACACAGGUGGUCUGGUAGAGCAUACCGAGGCGAGCGGGGUAACCGUGGUUAAGGAAUUCGGCAAAUUGUCCCCGUAACUUCGGGAGAAGGGGAGCCGCGCCUGGUGAUCCCCCAUUGGCGGGGUGAGCUGGGGGUGGCCGCAGAGUCUGGGCCCAAGCGACUGUUUACUAAAAACACAGGUCCGUGCGAAGUCGUAAGACGCGGUAUACGGACUGACGCCUGCCCGGUGCCGGAACGUUAAGGGGAGUGGUGAACCCGUUUAGGGUGAGGCUGCGAACCGAAGCGCCGGUAAACGGCGGUGGUAACUAUAACCAUCCUAAGGUAGCGAAAUUCCUUGUCGGGUAAGUUCCGACCUGCACGAAUGGCGUAACGACUUGGGCGCUGUCUCGACCACGGGCCCGACGAAAUUGCAGGACGAGUUAAGAUGCUCGUUUCGCGCGGCAGGACGGAAAGACCCCGGGACCUUUACUACAGCUUGGUAUGGGCGUCUGGUUCGGCUUGUGUAGGAUAGGUGGGAAACGGUGAACCACGCACGCCAGUGUGUGGGGAGUUGCUGGUGAAAUACCACUCUGGUCGUUCCGGGCGUCUAACCUCGGUCCGUGACCCGGAUCAGGGACAGUGCCUGGUGGGUAGUUUAACUGGGGCGGUUGCCUCCUAAAGGGUAACGGAGGCGCCCAAUGGUUCCCUCAGCCUGGACGGAAACCAGGUGGCGCGUGUAAGUGCACAAGGGAGCUUGACUGUGAGACCGACGGGUCGAGCAGGUGCGAAAGCAGGGACUAGUGAUCCGGCACCGGCAUGCGGAUGCGGUGUCGCUCAACGGAUAAAAGGUACCCCGGGGAUAACAGGCUGAUCUUGCCCAAGAGUCCAUAUCGACGGCAUGGUUUGGCACCUCGAUGUCGGCUCGUCGCAUCCUGGGGCUGGAGUGGGUCCCAAGGGUUGGGCUGUUCGCCCAUUAAAGCGGCACGCGAGCUGGGUUUAGAACGUCGUGAGACAGUUCGGUCCCUAUCCGCCGCGCGCGUGUGGAGACGUGCGGGGAGCUGUCCCUAGUACGAGAGGACCGGGACGGACGAACCUCUAGUGUGCCAGUUGUCCCGCCAGGGGCACGGCUGGUUGGCCAUGUUCGGCACGGAUAACCGCUGAAAGCAUCUAAGCGGGAAGCCCACCCCAAGAUGACGUCUCCCACCCCCCGUAAGGGGGGAUAAGGCACCCAGCAGAUGACUGGGUUGAUAGGCCCGACAUGUACGCACAGCGAUGUGUUCAGUGGACGGGUACUAACCCGCCGAACGGCG